rnacentral:siRNA from 1 species
UCCAGCGUCUACGGAAUGGCCGAA